CCAAUAGCGUAUAUUAAAGUUGUUGCAGUUAAAAAGCUCGUAGUUGAAUUUCGGGGUUAGUAGGUUGGUCAUGCCUCUGGUAUGUACUGGUCUCACUGAUUCCUCCUUCCUGAUGAACCUUAAUGCCAUUAAUUUGGUGUUUUGGGGAAUUUGGACUGUUACUUUGAAAAAAUUAGAGCGUUUAAAGCAAGCUAACGCUUGAAUACAUUAGCAUGGAAUAAUGAAAUAGGACGUUCGAUCCUAUUUUGUUGGUUUCUAGGAUUGACGUAAUGAUUAAUAGGGAUAGUUGGGGGCAUUAGUAUUCAAUUGUUAGAGGUGAAAUUCUUGGAUUUAUUGAAGACUAACUACUGCGAAAGCAUUUGCCAAGGAUGUUUUCAUUAAUCGAGAACGAAAGUUAGGGGAUCGAAGACGAUCAGAUACCGUCGUAGUCUUAACCAUAAACUAUGCCGACUAGGGAUCGGAUGAUGUUAAUUUUUUAAUGACUCAUUCGGCGCCUUACG
rnacentral:rRNA from 1 species